rnacentral:rRNA from 1 species
UGAGUACGAGCUGCUACGGCAGCGAAGUGGGUGAUGUCAUGCUUCCAAGAAAAGCACUAUACCCGUUAAGGCAUGAUGGCCUGUACCCGAAACCGACACAGGUGGGGUGGUAGAGAAUACCGAGGGGCGCGAGGUAACUCUCUCUAAGGAACUCGGCAAAAUGGCCCCGUAACUUCGGGAGAAGGGGUGCCACCGCAAGGUGGUCGCAGUGAAGAGGCCCAGGCGACUGUUUACCAAAAACACAGGUCUCCGCUAAGUCGCAAGACGAUGUAUGGGGGCUGACGCCUGCCCAGUGCCGGAAGGUUAAGGAAGCUGGUCAGCGUAAGCGAAGCUAGCGACUGAAGCCCCGGUGAACGGCGGCCGUAACAAUAACGGUCCUAAGGUAGCGAAAUUCCUUGUCGGGUAAGUUCCGACCCGCACGAAAGGCGUAACGAUCUGGGCGCUGUCUCGGAGAGAGGCUCGGCGAAAUAGAAUUGUCUGUGAAGAUGCGGACUACGUGCACCCGGACAGAAAGACCCUAUGAAGCUUUACUGUAGCUUGGUAUUGUGCUCGGGCUCGGAAUGCGCAGGAUAGGUGGGAGGCUAUGAACCAUUGCUUGCGGGUGAUGGUGAGCCACUGGUGAGAUACCACUCUUUCCGAGCUAGAGUUCUAAUAGCCACCUGUUAUCCGGGGGCUGGACAGUAUCAGGUGGGCAGUUUGACUGGGGCGGUCGCCUCCUAAAAGGUAACGGAGGCGCGCAAAGGUUUGCUCAGGCUGGUUGGAAAUCAGCCGACGAGUGUAAAAGCAGAAGCAAGCUUGACUGUGAGACCUACAAGUCGAACAGGGAGGAAACUCGGCUUUAGUGAUCCGACGGUUCUGCGUGGAAGGGCCGUCGCUCAACGGAUAAAAGUUACUCUAGGAUAACAGGCUGAUCUCCCCCAAGAGUUCACAUCGACGGGGAGGUUUGGCACCUCGAUGUCGGCUCAUCGCAACCUGGGGCUGAAGUCGGUCCCAAGGGUUGGGCUGUUCGCCCAUUAAAGCGGUACGCGAGCUGGGUUCAGAACGUCGUGAGACAGUUCGGUCCAUAUCCGGUGCAUGCGCAGGAAUAUUGAGAGGAUUUCUCCCUAGUACGAGAGGACCGGGAGGAACGCACCUCUGGUGUACCAGUUAUCGUGCCAACGGUAAACGCUGGGUAGCCAUGUGCGGAGAGGAUAACCGCUGAAAGCAUCUAAGUGGGAAGCCCACCUCAGGAUGAGUAUUCCCAUGGGGUAACCCAGUAAGGUCACGGGAAGAACACCCGUUGAUAGGCUCUACGUGGAAGCGCAGUAAUGUGUGAAGCGGAGGAGUACUAAUAGACCGAGGGCUUGAUC